rnacentral:rRNA from 1 species
UGAGAAACCUGCCCCGAACUUCGGGAUAACAGUGGGAAACCACUGCUAAUACCGGAUGCCUCCACUGUCUCGCAUGGGACGGUGAAGAAAGAUUCAUCGGUUCGGGAGGGUCUCGCGGCCUAUUAGCUUGUUGGUGAGGUAAUGGCUCACCAAGGCGACGACGGGUAGCCGGCCUGAGAGGGUGACCGGCCACACUGGGACUGAGACACGGCCCAGACUCCUACGGGAGGCAG